rnacentral:rRNA from 1 species
UACGUAGGGUGCAAGCGUUAAUCGGAAUUACUGGGCGUAAAGCGUGCGCAGGCGGUUCGGAAAGAAAGGUGUGAAAUCCCAGGGCUUAACCUUGGAACUGCACUUUUAACUACCGAGCUAGAGUAUGUCAGAGGGGGGUGGAAUUCCGCGUGUAGCAGUGAAAUGCGUAGAUAUGCGGAGGAACACCGAUGGCGAAGGCAGCCCCCUGGGAUAAUACUGACGCUCAUGCACGAAAGCGUGGGGAGCAACAGG